rnacentral:rRNA from 1 species
AGCAUAUCAAUAAGCGGAGGAAAAGAAACCAACAGGGAUUGCCCUAGUAACGGCGAGUGAAGCGGCAACAGCUCAAAUUUGAAAUCUGGCUCUUUUAGAGUCCGAGUUGUAAUUUGCAGAGGGCGCUUUGGCUUUGGCAGCGGUCCAAGUUCCUUGGAACAGGACGUCACAGAGGGUGAGAAUCCCGUACGUGGUCGCUGGCUAUUGCCGUGUAAAGCCCCUUCGACGAGUCGAGUUGUUUGGGAAUGCAGCUCUAAAUGGGAGGUACAUUUCUUCUAAAGCUAAAUAUUGGCCAGAGACCGAUAGCGCACAAGUAGAGUGAUCGAAAGAUGAAAAGCACUUUGGAAAGAGAGUCAAACAGCACGUGAAAUUGUUGAAAGGGAAGCGCUUGCAGCCAGACUUGCUUGCAGUUGCUCAUCCGGGCUUUUGCCCGGUGCACUCUUCUGUAGGCAGGCCAGCAUCAGUUUGGGCGGUAGGAUAAAGGUCUCUGUCACGUACCUCCUCUCGGGGAGGCCUUAUAGGGGAGACGACAUACUACCAGCCUGGACUGAGGUCCGCGCAUCUGCUAGGAUGCUGGCGUAAUGGCUGUAAGCGGCCCGUCUUGAAACACGGACCAAGGAGUCUAACAUCUAUGCGAGUGUUUGGGUGUCAAGCCCGAGCGCGUAAUGAAAGUGAACGGAGGUGGGAACCCGCAAGGGUGCACCAUCGACCGAUCCUGAUGUCUUCGGAAGGAUUUGAGUAAGAGCAUGGCUGUUUGGGACCCGAAAGAUGGUGAACUAUGCUUGAAUAGGGUGAAGCCAGAGGAAACUCUGGUGGAGGCUCGCAGCGGUUCUGACGUGCAAAUCGAUCGUCAAAUUUGGGCAUAGGGGCGAAAGACUAAUCGAACUAUCUAGUAGCUGGGUUCCUGCGA